UUACCAAAGAUGGUCCUGGUCCAGACAGUGCCACACUGACCGGAAACUCUGAGAAUGCAACUUCAAUUUACAGGAGAAUAUUCAAGUGAAGAAGCUUAAGAUGUUGCUAUUUCACGCAAUGUCCCUGGACCAUCACCUACUUGUAUAUAACAAUGCAAAUCUGACCGUGAGAAUGAGUCGUAGCCCAGCAUAACACCUCUAUACCAAAUACACCUAGAAAACAGAGAGAAGAACUCAACAUCAUCAAUGGCCAAUGACGAUGGCAUCCUACAGCCAGCUUCGUUAAAGGGAAACACCUGCAGCGCAGGUACCGUGGUUUUUUCUAUUGAGUUAUUUGGUUAGAUGGAUAGCUGUUAUCCAUUGUCCUUCUGCGUUGCCCUCCUAGCUUCAAGUCCGGCUUAGUGGCAUUAACAGGAAAUGCUUUGUUAGCAACGUUUACGUAUAGAUAAGGUGAUUUGGUCUUGGUUGUGUACAUUCCCGUUUGAUGGCGUUCGUCAUCUAGGCAGUUGGGCUCAUUUGGGUCAUGAACCCUGAGAACGCGAUUUGUAUUGUGAAAUCUAGGGAUAGCACGGGUUCACAAAGGAUGACCGUGGAAACUCGAAAAAUUCCGCAUAAUUUCAGCUUAUGGUAGCAGAAUGUACGAAUCAGGAACGAAGGACGGGUGAACUGAUUUGACCAACGAACAAUGUUUUAAAUGUAGAAUCAAAUUAUUAUUCUCCGCAACCGGUUUAUUUGCUUAAACCUCUUACAUGUACAUGAAUACUGUGUUAAUAACCCGCAAUCACCAAAGAAAAGAAGCCACGAUUGGCUAGAUAAGUCUCCCAAAAUAUUCAUGCACCUGUCGUGAAUGGUUAGAGCGGUAAGAAUUUGGGAAAGUCGAUUCCUGCCAAACUACUGCAUGGUACUGGCUUGUUUAACAAACUGAGGUGGCCAAGAACCGAAUUAUCCGUACCGAAAAGUAGAAGAGAAAGAAAAAUGUUCAUCAGAGAUCAGUUUUGUAGGUUAAUUAGAAAGUAUUUGGCUAAUUAUUAAGUUGCCAUCCCGAGACAAUGAAUUCCAAUGAUGAACAAAGUCGAACGAAUUAUUCUAAUAAUAAUGAUUUUAAAAAUGUGCAAAAAAAAAAAAGAAUGUGAUACGUACUCGUCAGGAACUCGGAAGGCUUUCGG